ACAAAUAGAGCGACACAUAUUUGAGUAAAAACAAAUUUCUAAACACCAAAGCGCAUCAUAACUGGAGUUAAGUUUUCUAAUAGGAAUUGCAUUCCAGGUUUUAUGCUGGCAACACCGUACGUGUGCAAAAUCCACCAAUUGGAAUUGGAAAAACAAACGUUCCGCGGCGGUCAGUCUUCUGUCAAAUUUCUUAUUAGUCAGUUGUCGGUUGUUGAUUUUUCCUUGGCGCUGCAGCUCCGCCAGUCGUAAAUAGGAUUUCCACCAAAACAAAGCGUGUGGUCCAAGUAGGUAGCUCCCCGGAUAGAAGGAGCAUCCAACGCGUAAAGUGAUUGAUAUAAUUUACCUAAAAAUUGCGCAGAAUUUAUGCUUUUCGUCAAGUGAAAAAGUGAAAUUUUACUUUGCAUGUGGUGUAGUGAAGAAGCGCCACACGUGAGCGUGUGUAUGUGCAAGAAAUUUCGAGUGCAUCCUAUUUAGCAAAUAAAGAAAUUUAAGUGCAAAUUUGUAUUUUUUUUUACGGUUAUAAAUGAUUUGUGAUUUAUGUUGAGUGUUUGGUGUGUUGAUGGGGUUUCAUAUUAAAUUGUUGCGACGAGCAAUUGGAAAUUGAAAUCAAAACAAUCCCCUCCGCAGGUGGCGGUGAACAGCCACAGAUGAUAGGUGAUUUUCGGUGUGGGCGAAUUGCAGAUUGUGCAUUCAAGGUGCCGGCGCAAAACAACUUUGUUUUUGCAUUGCAUUAUUUUAAGAGGCGUACCUAACAGAAAGUGUGGAAAAUUUCGCAAACAGAUAUAUAAACAAUUUGAGUGAUGAUGGAAAAUAUUACCGAAAGUUGGACCUAUUAUAUGUACGUGCUGCUGACACUGGUUCCAGUCUAUUUGGCAUUUCAAUUAAUUAAGUUUUUCGGCUGGGAAUUGUUUGUCAACAACUGACACAGACUAUAUACAACAAUAACAAUAACAAAUAUAAGUGAAAAAAUAAAGUGUUUUCUAGGCGUGCCUAACUGCUGGUGGAAGCUGAUAAAGCACAAAUAAGCUCCAGUCUAAUAAAAAAUAAAUGAAUGACUGUAACAAGACCAAAAGGAUAAGACGAGCAACUUACGGUGAAUAGGUGAGGAUCGAGUAAUAGCUCACCAUCAACAUAAAAAUAAUAAAUAUAAAUCAUUUACGGCAUUUAGCGUGUCAAAAGAAAAGAGAAAACAAAAAAGCCGA